AGUGAACGCUGGCGGUAGGCCUAACACAUGCAAGUCGAACGGCAGCACAGUAAGAGCUUGCUCUUACGGGUGGCGAGUGGCGGACGGGUGAGGCAUACAUCGGAAUCUACUUUUUCGUGGGGGAUAACGUAGGAAAACUUACGCUAAUACCGCAUACGACCUACGGGUGGAAGCAGGGGAUAUUCGCACCUUGCGCGUUUGAAUGAGCCGAUGUCGGAUUAGCUAGUUGGCGUGGUAAAGGCCCACCAAGGCGACGAUCCGUAGCUGGUCUGAGAGGAUGAUCAGCCACACUGGAACUGAGACACGGUCCAGACUCCUACGGGAGGCAGCAGUGGGGAAUAUUGGACAAUGGGCGCAAGCCUGAUCCAGCCAUACCGCGUGAGUGAAGAAGGCCUUCGGGUUGCAAAGCCCUUUUGUUGGGAAAGAAAAGCAGCAGGUUAAUACCCCGCUGUUCUGACGGUACCCAAAGAAUAAGCACCGGCUAACUUCGUG
rnacentral:rRNA from 1 species